AGAGGAGUGAAUUUGUCUAA
rnacentral:snRNA from 1 species